rnacentral:rRNA from 1 species
UACAGAGGUCUCAAGCGUUGUUCGGAUUCAUUGGGCGUAAAGGGUGUGUAGGUGGCGCCGUAAGUCGGGUGUGAAAUUUCGGAGCUUAACUCCGAAACUGCAUUCGAUACUGCGGUGCUUGAGGACUGGAGAGGAGACUGGAAUUCAUGGUGUAGCAGUGAAAUGCGUAGAGAUCAUGAGGAAGACCAGUGGCGAAAGCGGGUCUCUGGACAGUUCCUGACACUGAGACACGAAGGCCAGGGGAGCAAACGGG